AACAAUAAUGACAACUGAAAUUGUAAAUUCUUAUCAUCAAACUGCGGUACCUGUGUGUAUUCGUCUGUGUUGCAGAUCAGCUGAAGCUAAAAAAGAAGAAAAGAAAAAAAAAAGAGCCCAGUUUGCAGACACCUUCCUCGAGCGCAGCGCUCCGAGAUCUAUCCGUUGCGCGUACGAGAGCACGCGAGAAGCAGAAGCUGAAACAACACAUCACCGAGGGCUGAGCGCAAUAAAAAGAAAGAAAAGAAAGAAAAAGUGCUGGUGGAACAAGCGGAGACAACCGCAGAUAUAUGCGGGAGGAAAGGAGGAGGAUCGAUUUAUCACGUCUCUCGCAUUUUGUGCCGUGUCCACCGGCGCAUGGUUUUUGAGGAGCUAUGAGGUCUCUGAACCACAAUGACAAUAUCACCGCCGGUCACCUCACACGGCUAAGGAGGACUUCAUCUAGGAUUUCACCCGAUUGACGGCGGCAAAGAGGCAGCUUUUUCAUACCUGACGGAGCUUUUGAUGAGCUCUGCACUGUUAAGACUUGUGAUUAACUGACUGAAACGAUUAUUUAGC
ensembl:lncRNA